UACGGAGGGUGCAAGCGUUAUCCGGAAUCACUGGGUUUAAAGGGUACGUAGGCUGUUAUAUAAGUCAGAAGUGAAAGAUUACUGCUUAACAGUAAAACUGCUUUUGAUACUGUAUGACUAGAGACAGAUAGAGGUGCGCGGAAUGCGUCAUGUAGCGGUGAAAUGCAUAGAUAUGACGUAGAACGCCGAUAGUGAAGACAGCGCACCGGGUCUGAUCUGACGCUGAGGUACGAAAGCGUGGGGAGCGAACAGG
rnacentral:rRNA from 1 species